rnacentral:tRNA from 1 species
GCCGCGAUGGUGCAAUGGUUAGCAUGGGGGCCUGUGGAGCCCCAGAUCUGGGUUCGAAUCCCAGUCGCGGCC